rnacentral:lncRNA from 1 species
ACCUGCUUCUUAGAGCUUAUUUACCCCUCUCGCAGUGGCUCCCUGUGUUCCAGCUUAGACCUGAUUUGUUUCUGUUUCUCAAGGAAGCCAAGUUCUUCCCAACAUAGGGCCUUUGUCCUUGCCCUUCCCACGUCCUGGAAUGCACUUCCCCGAGCUCUUCACCUGACUCAUUCCCUCUCCUGCGGAACAUUCCAGGAAAUGAAGGUGAAAGCGCAGGUGCUCUGGGUGCACACGGGAAGGCAUGGACGCCAUCUCUUGAGAAACCAGAAAGCUACCAAGAGGAAGUCAUGCUGUCUAGUUUGAGAUCCAAAGGAUCAUGUGCCAAAGGAGGAGCUUUAGCCGUGAUGAAGCGUCGGCAUCCCUCCCCCGAGGCUGGGACCACUGGACGCUGAAUGCAUCCAUCUUCCUUCGCGUGUCUCUCACUCAGCAUCUUUUCUAACGUCUACUUCCCACCAGGCUGCAGGCCCGUGUUAACCUUCAGAUUUGGGAAAGAACUGGAUUGGCUGCUGGCGCUGGAAACUUUUCUUCACGAACGCCUUUUAUACGGUUUUGGCAGGCACAUAUAAUACCAGCAGAGAGAGAAAUCCCGCUGGCGAGAGAAAAUAAAACCUU